UACAGAGGGUGCGAGCGUUAAUCGGAGUUACUGGGCGUAAAGGGCGCGUAGGCGGUGAUGUGAGUGCGAUGUGAAAGCCCUGGGCUUAACCUGGGAAGUGCAUCGUAAACUGCAUUGCUGGAGUAUAUGAGAGGGUGGCGGAAUUUCCGGUGUAGCGGUGAAAUGCGUAGAGAUCGGAAGGAACGUCGAUGGCGAAGGCAGCCACCUGGCAUAAUACUGACGCUGAGGCGCGAAAGCGUGGGGAGCAAACGGG
rnacentral:rRNA from 1 species